AUUGAACGCUGGCGGCAGGCUUAACACAUGCAAGUCGAACGAGUGGCGGACGGGUGAGUAAUGCUUGGGAAACUGGCUUAUGGAGGGGGAUAACGACGGGAAACUGUCGCUAAUACCGCGUACCAUAGGAUGAGCCCAUGUGGGAUUAGGUAGUUGGUGGGGUAAUGGCUCACCAAGCCGACGAUCUCUAGCUGGUCUGAGAGGAUGACCAGCCACACGGGAACGGGGACACGGUCCAGACCCCUACGGAAGUCAGCAGUGGGGAAUAUUGCACAAUGGGCGCAAGCCUGAUGCAGCCAUGCCGCGUGUGUGAAGAGGGCCUUCGGGUUGUAAAGUACUUUCAGCGGGGAGGCGUUACCCGCAGAAGAAGCACCGGCUAACUCCGUGCCAGCAGCCGCGGUAAUUC
rnacentral:rRNA from 1 species